CAGAUUGGCUGUCAGUGCAGAGAGGCAGCCAACGACUUGCAAACACCCUGAACAAACACACCUACUGCCAAUUUCUGCUCAGUCUUGAUUUAUCCAUUUGUUGUCUUCAUCCGAAGUAUAAAAGACAGGUUAAUGGAUGGAUGAGAAAAACACUGUGGCAAGACACUUAAUGAUUUGCAAGCAUCUUUUGUUAAAGCCUGUACUGGAAGUUAUUUUAUGUGAUGUUACAUGUUGGUCUACUCCUUUUGGACUCCGAAAAGUGAAUGGAGGCAUAUCACGUGAGGCUGGGAGCCUGAAGGGGUGACAGGAGCCUCCUCCACAACAAAGCAGUUGGAGAAGGGAGACACUGCAGGCCUUGUUCUCUUCUUUGCCACUCUGUGUCAAAGUCUGGCUCAGUCUCACCAGUGUCCUUGCUAAAGCCCUCGAGUGAACCGGGCCAUGUCAGACCUGAAUCCAUCAAUCACUCAGCGCCAGCCAUGGAGAGACAGAGGGGUUGGUAGAAAUGGAGAGAUGAGAGGAGUGAGGGAAGAGAAGCAUGGAAUUUGGAGAGCCAGCUGUCAGGUCACAAAAGGCCCUCACAACCAAGUCCAAUCAAGAUACUCGCGGAGCUAAAACACAUGUUUUAGAAGAGGACAGCAGGAGAGAGGAAAGUCACAACAAAAAAGUCAAAGUGAGAAGGGCAGAGAAUCAGCUGACGUGACUUGAGAAAGGAGAUGAAAGCAAAAGGAGGGCAAGGAGGAAGAAGGAAGAUGGCGACAGAACAAAAGCAAACAGGAAGAUGUGACAAAGCUGUGGAUGAGCUUUUCAGCAGCUGCUAUGACUGACUGCAAACUCAUUUAUUACAGGUCACAAACGCCAAGUGCUUCAUUUAAAAAGGACAUCCUACCUUCCCUACAAACCCGACCACCAUCACCCCCCCAGCAGAAGUGAAAAAUCGAACAGCAAGAAUAGCACGUAGGGCGCACCGCUCCAUUACUUGGAGGCCAGCAGCAACCAAAAGAUUGCAACAGGGUUUGAGCUGUGGGAGGGCAAAAACAGCACCUACGCAAUAAAAAUAUAUGAUAAACUCAAA